GGGGUACUCGAGUGGCGAACGGGUGAGUAACACGUGGGUGAUCUGCCCUGCACUUUGGGAUAAGCCUGGGAAACUGGGUCUAAUACCGAAUAUUUCCUUCUGGUCGCAUGGCUGGGAGGGGAAAGCUUUUGCGGUGUGGGAUGGGCCCGCGGCCUAUCAGCUUGUUGGUGAGGUUAUGGCUUACCAAGGCGACGACGGGUAGCCGGCCUGAGAGGGUGACCGGCCACACUGGGACUGAGAUACGGCCCAGACUCCUACGGGAGGCAGCAGUGGGGAAUAUUGCACAAUGGGCGCAAGCCUGAUGCAGCGACGCCGCGUGGGGGAUGACGGCCUUCGGGUUGUAAACCUCUUUCAAUAGGGACGAAGCGCAAGUGACGGUACCUAUAGAAGAAGGACCGGCCAACUACGUGCCAGCAGCCGCGGUAAUACGUAGGGUCCGAGCGUUGUCCGGAAUUACUGGGCGUAAAGAGCUCGUAGGUGGUUUGUCGCGUUGUCCGUGAAAACUCACAGCUUAACUGUGGGCGUGCGGGCGAUACGGGCAGACUUGAGUACUGCAGGGGAGACUGGAAUUCCUGGUGUAGCGGUGGAAUGCGCAGAUAUCAGGAGGAACACCGGUGGCGAAGGCGGGUCUCUGGGCAGUAACUGACGCUGAGGAGCGAAAGCGUGGGGAGCGAACAGGAUUAGAUACCCUGGUAGUCCACGCCGUAAACGGUGGGUACUAGGUGUGGGUUUCCUUCCUUGGGAUCCGUGCCGUAGCUAACGCAUUAAGUACCCCGCCUGGGGAGUACGGCCGCAAGGCUAAAACUCAAAGAAAUUGACGGGGGCCCGCACAAGCGGCGGAGCAUGUGGAUUAAUUCGAUGCAACGCGAAGAACCUUACCUGGGUUUGACAUGCACAGGAC
rnacentral:rRNA from 1 species